rnacentral:sRNA from 1 species
GAGCCUACUGUCCAUCCACUCUGAGGAGUAAACUCUUGAGAUCUGUGGAGAAUUUGAAAUCAUUUAAAAGGUUAAAAUACCUGCUUUUGAGAUGUUUCCAGAACCGAAUUGGUGUUUGGUGUCGCCAGUGAAGCUGACUGGAGAAGCUUGCACAGAAAGGAAAAUCAUUGUCACCUUUAGCAAGUAUAACUGGAAUAUCACUAUUUUUGAUUAUAUCCAUGUGUCUUCUCUUCCUAUGGAAAAAAUAUCAACCCUACAAAGGCCAGAAACAGAAUACAGGAAAGCUCAAACAUUUUCAGGCCAUGAAGAUGCUCUGGAUGACUUCGGAAUAUAUGAAUUUGUUGCUUUUCCAGAUGCUUCUGGUGUUUCCAGGAUCCCAAGCAGGUCUGUUCCAGCCUCUGAUUGUGUAUCAGGGCAAGAUUUGCACAGUACAGUAUAUGAAGUUAUUCAGCACAUCCCUGCCCAGCAGCAAGACCAUCCAGAGUGAACUUUCACGGGCUAACCGGUACAUUCGAGUGAAAUUUUGAAGAAACAUUUUAAGGAAAAACAGUGGAAAAGUAUAUUAAUCUGGAAUCAGUGAAGAAACCAAGACCAACACCUCUUACUCAUUACUCCUUUACAUGCAGAACAUAGGCAUUUAUGCAAAUUGAACUGCAGGUUUUUCAGCAUAUACACAAUGUUUUGUGCAACAGGAAAACAUGUUGGGGAAAUAUUUCUCAGUGGACAGUCUUUCUCAUGCUGACGGGGUUUCCUCAUAACUUUUGUAUG